rnacentral:tRNA from 2 species
AGGAUAAUAGUUAACUAUAACAUUUAACUUGCACUUAAAAAGUAUUGAUUUUUCAAUUUAUCUUA